AGUGAACGCUGGCGGUAGGCCUAACACAUGCAAGUCGAACGGCAGCACAGUAAGAGCUUGCUCUUACGGGUGGCGAGUGGCGGACGGGUGAGGAGUACAUCGGAAUCUACUUUUUCGUGGGGGAUAACGUAGGGAAACUUACGCUAAUACCGCAUACGACCUACGGGUGAAAGCAGGGGAUCCUCGGACCUUGCGCGAUUGAAUGAGCCGAUGUCGGAUUAGCUAGUUGGCGGGGUAAAGGCCCACCAAGGCGACGAUCCGUAGCUGGUCUGAGAGGAUGAUCAGCCACACUGGAACUGAGACACGGUCCAGACUCCUACGGGAGGCAGCAGUGGGGAAUAUUGGACAAUGGGCGCAAGCCUGAUCCAGCCAUACCGCGUGGGUGAAGAAGGCCUUCGGGUUGUAAAGCCCUUUUGUUGGGAAAGAAAAGCAGCAGGUUAAUACCCCGCUGUUCUGACGGUACCCAAAGAAUAAGCACCGGCUAACUUCGUG
rnacentral:rRNA from 1 species